rnacentral:pre_miRNA from 1 species
CUUGCAGAGGUUAUUGGCAUUCUGUCCACCUCCAAAUCAUCCAUCUCCCAUGAACAAGAGAAGCUUACAGAUGGAGGUGGGCAUCCUGCCAACUGAACUCUGCUAG